rnacentral:rRNA from 1 species
ACAGAGGAGGCAAGCGUUGUUCGGAAUCACUGGGCUUAAAGCGGGUGUAGGCGGCUGCGCAAGUGUUUUGUGAAAUCCCACGGCUCAACCGUGGAACCGCAGGGCAAACUGCGCGGCUUGAGGUCGGUAGAGGUGCCUGGAACUCUAGGUGGAGCGGUGAAAUGCGUAGAUAUCUAGAGGAACGCCAGAGGCGAAAGCGAGGCACUGGGCCGAUUCUGACGCUGAGACCCGAAAGCGUGGGUAGCAAACUG